GAUCCAUUAGCUCAGGUGGAUAGAGCGAGCGCCUCCUAAGCGCUAGGUCGGACGUUCGAAUCGUCUAUGGAUCA
rnacentral:tRNA from 5 species